UACAGAGGGGGCAAGCGUUGUUCGGAAUUACUGGGCGUAAAGGGCGCGUAGGCGGCCUUCUAAGUCGAACGUGAAAUCCCCGGGCUCAACCCGGGAACUGCGUCCGAGACUGGAAGGCUUGAAUCCGGGAGAGGGAUGUGGAAUUCCAGGUGUAGCGGUGAAAUGCGUAGAUAUCUGGAGGAACACCGGUGGCGAAGGCGGCAUUCUGGACCGAAACUGACGCGUGAGGCGCGAAAGCCAGGGGAGCAAAGCGGG
rnacentral:rRNA from 1 species